rnacentral:rRNA from 1 species
GAUGAACGCUAGCUACAGGCUUAACACAUGCAAGUCGAGGGACCGGCGCACGGGAGAGUAACACGUACCCCCCCUGCCCUUUACUCGGGGAUAGCCUUUCGAAAGAAAGAUCAAUACCCGAUAUAAAGGAUGGGGAUGCGUUCCAUUAGGUUGUGGGUGAGGUACCGGCCGACCAAGCCUUCGAUGGAUAGGGGUUCUGAGAGGAAGGUCCCCCACAUUGGAACUGAGACACGGUCCAAACUCCUACGGGAGGCAGCAGUGAGGAAGAUUGGUCAAGGGGCGUUAGCCUGAACCAGCCAAGUAGCGUGAAGGAUGAAGGCUUGUGGGUCGUAGACUUCUUUUAUAUAAGAAUAUGUAUUAUAUGAAUAAGGAUCGGCUAACUCCGUGCCAGCAGCCGCGGUAAUUC